AAACUUACCAGGUCAAGACAUGGGCGUGAUUGACAGGCUAAUGACUUUUCUCGAUUCCAUGGAUGGUGGUGCAUGGUCGCACUUAGUUGGUGCAGUGAUUUGUCAGGUUUAUUCCGGUAACGAACGAGACCUCGGCCUUGUAAAUAGCUAUGCUGCUUACAGGGACAUUGGCGGCUACGCCAAGGAAGCUCGAGGCAAUUGCAGAUCUGGAAUGCCCUUAGAUGUCCUGGGUCGCACGCGUGCUACAAUGACGCCACGAACGAGCUUGCGUGAUGAAAGUUACGCAUAAUCAGCAGUCGGCGUCUUAAGGGAUAGUCUCUUGUAACUGUGGGACUCCAACUAGGAAUGUCUCGUAAGCACAAGUCAACAUCUUGUGUUGAUUACGUCCCUGCUCUUUGUACACACCGCCCGUCGCUCCUACCGAUCGAGUGUUUAGGUGAAUUUGAUGGACGUAAGGAAGUCAAAUAAACCUGAGCACUAGAGAAGAGAAGUCGAGCAGC
rnacentral:rRNA from 1 species